CCAAACUUGGUCAUUUAGAGGAAGUAAAAGUCGUAACAAGGUUUCCGUAGGUGAACCUGCGGAGGGAUCAUUACUGAAUGGUCUCCACGACCUUUGACCCAUAAAGCCUGUGGCAAAAUCCUGUGCUUUGGCGCCCCCGAGGCGCCAAGAUCAUGCAUGUAUAUGUGCCUGUUGUCUGAAGGAUGGAAAGCAAAAAACUUUCAACAAAGGAUCUCUUGGCUCUGUAGAGGAAGUAAAAGUCGUAACAAGGUUUCCGUAGGUGAACCUGCGGAGGGAUCAUUACUGAAUGGUCUCCACGACCUUUGACCCAUAAAGCCUGUGGCAAAAUCCUGUGCUUUGGCGCCCCCGAGGCGCCAAGAUCAUGCAUGUAUAUGUGCCUGUUGUCUGAAGGAUGGAAAGCAAAAAACUUUCAACAAAGGAUCUCUUGGCUCUGGCAUCGAUGAAGAACGCAGC
rnacentral:misc_RNA from 1 species